rnacentral:rRNA from 1 species
GCGAAGCCGCGAGGCGGAGCAAAUCACAAAACCCGGUCCCAGUUCAGAUUGCAGGCUGCAACUCGCCUGCAUGAAGGCGGAAUUGCUAGUAAUCGCGGAUCAGCAUGCCGCGGUGAAUACGUUCCCGGGCCUUGUACACACCGCCCGUCACACCAUGAGAGUCGGGAACACCCGAAGUCCGUAGCCUAACAGCAAUGGGGCGCGGCCGAAGGUGGGUUCGAUAAUUGGGGUGAAGUCGUAACAAGGUACC